ACUUGAGUAUACAUGAAAGUAUAAGCACCAUGAUUUAUUCAGAUGUUUGACACUUGACAGUAUCCGAGAUGCCGCAACAAGGUCUGGUGGUGUUUUACAAUGUUGCCAUUUCUUCAAUUUGCAAAAAAUGGGAAACUGAUCGUGCCAUUGAUUUAUUUCGCCCACAUGGUGUUGAUUAUUUCAUAAUUCAUCAUUUUUAUUAACAUAUUCAUGUGAAGUGUAAUCUUGAAUGUUGCAGACUAUACCAUCUGAAAUGUCCUUUAUUAAUAACUGUUGGAGUGUAUAUCCUUCGUUAGAGUGAGUACGAAAAACUGAACCAAAGAGGGAAUGUAAUGUUGCCAGCGAGGAUGGGAUUCUUAUGCCUCAGGUUUCCGUUUGUAUCAUUGAGACUUGAGAGUAGAUUGUAGGGUAAUACAUUCUACAUGCAUGUGUGUUGUAGUUGUAGCAAGUUAGACAAGGUACCCCGCUAAUGCCGAGAGUAUGGAGCCGACGAAGGCUAUCAACAACAAGCUCCAGGAGGAGAAUGGUCUAACCUAUAGCCCAGAUCAGGUUCUAGCAUCCAAUGGAGCUAAGCAGUGCAUUACACAAGCUAUGCUUGCUCUUUUCUCACGUGGUGAUGUGGCAAAGUUAUCAUCCUUGUACAUUGAUUUUUUAGGACAAAUACUUUUCAUACUAGCUUAGACAAUACCAUGAAAAUAGUAGCACCAAGUGGUUAUCAUGUACUCCUUUUGUUGUCCCCAGUUCUUAAAAGUUAGCAGAUUGCUUAUAAAUGUAUUGUAGCACAUUUGGUUGUGAUGAUGCAGGUCUAGAAAUAGUUCUGAACAUAAGCACUAGAAAAUAUUUUUGUUGCGAUGACCGUAUAAGCAAAUAAUGUGUAUCUCCA